rnacentral:rRNA from 1 species
GUAUCCUGGCUCAGGAUGAACGCUGGCGGCGUGCUUAACACAUGCAAGUCGAACGGGAAAUAUUUUAUUGAAGCUUCGGUUGAUUUAAUUUAUUUCUAGUGGCGGACGGGUGAGUAACGCGUGGGUAACCUGCCUUAUACUGGGGGAUAACAGCCAGAAAUGACUGCUAAUACCGCAUAAGCGCACAGAACCGCAUGGUCCGGUGUGAAAAACUCCGGUGGUAUAAGAUGGACCCGCGUUGGAUUAGCUGGUUGGCG